rnacentral:rRNA from 1 species
AGAGUUUGAUCCUGGCUCAGGACGAACGCUGGCGGCGCGCCUAACACAUGCAAGUCGAACGAGCGAGAGAGAGCUUGCUUUCUCGAGCGAGUGGCGAACGGGUGAGUAACGCGUGAGGAACCUGCCUCAAAGAGGGGGACAACAGUUGGAAACGACUGCUAAUACCGCAUAAGCCCACGGGUCGGCAUCGACCAGAGGGAAAAGGAGCAAUCCGCUUUGAGAUGGCCUCGCGUCCGAUUAGCUAGUUGGUGAGGUAACGGCCCACCAAGGCAACGAUCGGUAGCCGGACUGAGAGGUUGAACGGCCACAUUGGGACUGAGACACGGCCCAGACUCCUACGGGAGGCAGCAGUGGGGAAUAUUGCACAAUGGGGGAAACCCUGAUGCAGCGACGCCGCGUGGAGGAAGAAGGUCUUCGGAUUGUAAACUCCUGUUGUUGGGGAAGAUAAUGACGGUACCCAACAAGGAAGUGACGGCUAACUACGUACCAGCAGCCGCGGUAAAACGUAGGUCACAAGCGUUGUCCGGAAUUACUGGGUGUAAAGGGAGCGCAGGCGGGAAGACAAGUUGGAAGUGAAAUCUAUGGGCUCAACCCAUAAACUGCUUUCAAAACUGUUUUUCUUGAGUAGUGCAGAGGUAGGCGGAAUUCCCGGUGUAGCGGUGGAAUGCGUAGAUAUCGGGAGGAACACCAGUGGCGAAGGCGGCCUACUGGGCACCAACUGACGCUGAGGCUCGAAAGUGUGGGUAGCAAACAGGAUUAGAUACCCUGGUAGUCCACACCGUAAACGAUGAUUACUAGGUGUUGGAGGAUUGACCCCUUCAGUGCCGCAGUUAACACAAUAAGUAAUCCACCUGGGGAGUACGACCGCAAGGUUGAAACUCAAAGGAAUUGACGGGGGCCCGCACAAGCAGUGGAGUAUGUGGUUUAAUUCGACGCAACGCGAAGAACCUUACCAAGUCUUGACAUCCCUUGACAGACAUAGAAAUAUGUAAUCUCUUCGGAGCAAGGAGACAGGUGGUGCAUGGUUGUCGUCAGCUCGUGUCGUGAGAUGUUGGGUUAAGUCCCGCAACGAGCGCAACCCUUAUGGUCAGUUACUACGCAAGAGGACUCUGGCCGGACUGCCGUUGACAAAACGGAGGAAGGUGGGGAUGACGUCAAAUCAUCGUGCCCUUUAUGACUUGGGCUACACACGUACUACAAUGGCGUUAAACAAAGAGAAGCAAGACCGCGAGGUGGAGCAAAACUCAGAAACAACGUCCCAGUUCGGACUGCAGGCUGCAACUCGCCUGCACGAAGUCGGAAUUGCUAGUAAUCGUGGAUCAGCAUGCCACGGUGAAUACGUUCCCGGGCCUUGUACACACCGCCCGUCACACCAUGAGAGCCGGGGGGACCCGAAGUCGGU